rnacentral:rRNA from 2 species
UACGUAGGGGGCAAGCGUUAUCCGGAUUUACUGGGUGUAAAGGGAGUGUAGGUGGCAUGGCAAGUCAGAAGUGAAAGCCCGGGGCUCAACCCCGGGACUGCUUUUGAAACUGCCAAGCUAGAGUGCAGGAGAGGUAAGUGGAAUUCCUAGUGUAGCGGUGAAAUGCGUAGAUAUUAGGAGGAACACCAGUGGCGAAGGCGACUUACUGGACUGUAACUGACACUGAGGCUCGAAAGCGUGGGGAGCAAACAGG